AUCCUGGCUAGAUUGAACGCUGGCGGCAGGCCUAACACAUGCAAGUCGAGCGGUAGAGAGAAGCUUGCUUCUCUUGAGAGCGGCGGACGGGUGAGUAAUGCCUAGGAAUCUGCCUGGUAGUGGGGGAUAACGUUCGGAGACGGACGCUAAUACCGCAUACGUCCUACGGGAGAAAGCAGGGGACCUUCGGGCCUUGCGCUAUCAGAUGAGCCUAGGUCGGAUUAGCUAGUUGGUGAGGUAAUGGCUCACCAAGGCGAUGAUCCGUAACUGGUCUGAGAGGAUGAUCAGUCACACUGGAACUGAGACACGGUCCAGACUCCUACGGGAGGCAGCAGUGGGGAAUAUUGGACAAUGGGCGAAAGCCUGAUCCAGCCAUGCCGCGUGUGUGAAGAAGGUCUUCGGAUUGUAAAGCACUUUAAGUUGGGAGGAAGGGCAGUUACCUAAUACGUGAUUGUUUUGACGUUACCGACAGAAUAAGCACCGGCUAACUCUGUGCCAGCCGCCGCGGUAAUACAAGCCGAAUUCCACCCCCUA
rnacentral:rRNA from 1 species